CGAUAGCGUAUAUUAAAGUUGUUGCAGUUAAAAAGCUCGUAGUUGGAUUUCGGGGCAGCCUGGCUGGUCCGCCGCAAGGCGAGUACUGGUCAGCCGCCCUUCCUCUCGAAAGCCCCGACUGCUCUUUAUUGCAGUGGUCGGGUAGUUCGGGACGUUUACUUUGAAAAAAUUAGAGUGUUCAAGGCAGGCCUACGCCUGAAUACAUUAGCAUGGAAUAAUGGAAGAGGACCUCGGUCCUAUUUUGUUGGUUUCCAGGACCGAAGUAAUGAUUAAGAGGGACAGUUGGGGGCAUUCGUAUUUAAUUGUCAGAGGUGAAAUUCUCGGAUUUAUGAAAGACGAACAACUGCGAAAGCAUUUGCCAAGGAUGUUUUCAUUAA
rnacentral:rRNA from 1 species